rnacentral:tRNA from 2 species
GCACGGAUGGCUGAGUGGCCCAAAGCGGCGGUCCGCAAAACCGCAAAACCGCCGGUUCAAAUCCGGCUCCGUGCUCCA